UACGUAGGGGGCAAGCGUUGUCCGGAUUUAUUGGGCGUAAAGAGCGUGUAGGCGGCCGUACAGGUCAGCUGUGAAAACUCGAGGCUCAACCUCGAGACGUCGGUUGAAACCGUACGGCUAGAGUCCGGAAGAGGAGAGUGGAAUUCCCGGUGUAGCGGUGAAAUGCGCAGAUAUCAGGAAGAACACCCGUGGCGAAGGCGGCUUUCUGGGGACGGUACUGACGCUGAGACGCGAAAAGCGUGGGGGAGCGAAACAGG
rnacentral:rRNA from 1 species